ensembl:lncRNA
UUAAAGCAAUAUGGAGGGGUAGCNCUCUCUCCCUUUCUCUUUCUCUUUAUCUCUCUUCUAUCUCAUCUAUCUUUCCUCUUUAUCUUUCUUCUCUCUCUUUCUCUCCAUCCCUCCUUCUCUCUCUUUCUCUCUCUCUCUCCCUCCUUCUUUCUCUCUCAUUUCUCUCCUGUCACUCUCUCCUCUCUCCCUUCCCUCUUUCUCUCUCCUCUCUCACUCCUUUCUCUCUUCUCUUUCAUUUCUUUCUUUUCUCUCGCUUGCUCAUCUCUCUUUAGUCCCCCAUCUCUCUUUCCUUUCCUACCUCUCUCCCUUUCUCUUUCAUCUCUCUUCUAUCUCAUCUAUCUUUCCUCUUUAUCUUGGACCAAACACAAGCUCCCCCUCUCUGAGUCUCCAUUUCCUAACUGGACAAAGGAAAGGGCUGGAUGAUCUCAAAGGUGAAAGGAUCUCACAGCCCAUUUCCUAUGAUAUUUGGCAGGAGCCCCCCCACCCCCAGUUUCUGGAUGUUUCUAAGGUCCCUUUCAGUCCUUCCAUUUCAGGUCUCCUCCUUUUCAUCCUCAGGCAGCCCCUCACCCCGGGAAAGGCCUAAGCCUAUUUUUGGCAGUGCCUUGGGAGGCCCUCCCUCCUCAGCACCUGCUUUCCGGCCUGCUGAAUGAUCCCUGCCUAAGCAGCUGCCCCCUUUUUGUCCCUCGCCCCACAGUUGGUGUCUCCGUCAUCCCAAGGUAACAUGAGGCUAGUGUGGCCCAUGGGCCAUGGACCUGGGAGGGCACUGGCUGGGCUGGAUGGGAGCCUCUAGAAGGAGCAGAAUCCAGUCAUCCUCAUCUCUGCAGAUGGGCAGAAGGAAUUGCAAAGAGUUUUUCAAUCCUGAAUCAUUUUCUCUGUUAUUUACCUCACUGUCUCCCUGCUAGCUGGCAAGCUAGUCCUCUUGACAAGCCCGUGUGGGGGAGUCAGCUUCCCAGACACCAUGAAACAAAGACAGAUGAGGCAGGAGGCAGCAGAGAGAUGUCCCACCCCACUCCCCAUCCCCAAGAAGUUCCCGGGCUUCCACAGAUACAGGAAAGAAAUCCCUUCAAGAGAUCCAGUGGAAACAAAACAUGAUUCAGCUUCCUUGCCCAGAAAAUGGGAGAGAUGAAUUAGGUAGCCUUGGAGGGCCCUUCUAGCUCUCUACCUCUGAUUUCUGUGUGGCCUUGGAUAAGUCAUUUCCUCUCUCUGGGCCUCAGUCUCCUCCUCUAUAAAAUAGGGGGCUGCAUUCAGUCCCUUCUAGCUUUAAAUCUGGAGGUGGGGCUAGGAGGCGAAGAUGGAGGGCUGGAUGGGGACGCACAGAAGGUUUCUUCCCACCACUUUGCUGAGUGACCUUGGACAAGUAACUUAACUUGCCUGGGCCUCCCCUACAAAAAAGAGGAGGUUGAACUAAAUAACUGAGAUCCCUUUGAGCUAGUCAUGAUCAAUACUAUAAUAAUGGUAAUAUUAAAAUACUAUUAGAGAAUCAUCCUCAUCAUAGCUUAUCUCGAUCAUCCAAAGUACUUUCUAUUCAUUAUAUCCUAAGAGCCUCUCGACAGCCCCUGUGAGAUAAGCUAGGUUCUAGGACC